rnacentral:lncRNA from 1 species
CGCUCCCUAAUCAUAACCUAAAGAUUUUUCAAAAAUUAUUGGAUUAUUUUGUAAAGACAUUUGAUAAAAUAUAUGGAAGCUUCAAUUUUUCUUAGAACAUACUACAUUGAAGUACUUUUCUUAAUUUGAAAACAUCAUCUUCCGCUUCGAAUCAAGGUCUUACGCUUAAUAACCGUAAAACUAGUAUUGAACUUACAAUGUCAUUAGCUGAGUUUCAAAAAUGUGUAUUGAACACAUUGUCUACUAUGAAAUAUGACAUAAAUUGUUGUGUACUCACUAAUCAACAAAUUAAUGCUAACAUGAAUGCAUUGCUGGAAAAUUUAAACAAAAAUGCAGUAAUAUCAGAUGAUGGUUUUAAUGAUUAUGACUUAAAUGAUAUACUUCCAAUCGAAAAUCAUGAAUCCCUACAAGAAUUUGAAUUCAAGCUCCAAAAAAAAAAAAAAUGAAAAUAAUUUUAAAUCUAUUAUAGUACACAAAUUGUCAUUGCUUGUUAUUAAUAAGUGUAGGUGACUCAGUGAAGCGUUUAUUGUCCACAAUGUUUGAUGAUAAAGUUCUUGAAAGUUACUCAAC